GCAGUCGAGGGGUAGAAUAGCUUGCUAUUUUGAGACCGGCGCACGGGUGCGUAACGCGUAUGCGAUCUGCCUUUUACAGGGGAAUAGCCCAGAGAAAUUUGGAUUAAUGCCCCAUAGCACUGCAGGACGGCAUCGUCCAGCAGUUAAAGUCACAACGGUAAAAGAUGAGCAUGCGUCCCAUUAGCUAGUUGGUAAGGUAACGGCUUACCAAGGCUAUGAUGGGUAGGGGUCCUGAGAGGGAGAUCCCCCACACUGGUACUGAGACACGGACCAGACUCCUACGGGAGGCAGCAGUGAGGAAUAUUGGACAAUGGGCGCAAGCCUGAUCCAGCCAUGCCGCGUGCAGGAUGAAGCAUCUAUGGUGUGUAAACUGCUUUUAUACGGGAAGAAACCCUGGCUCGUGAGCCAGACUGACGGUACCGUAGGAAUAAGGAUCGGCUAACUCCGUGCCAGCAGCCGCGGUAAUACGGAGAGAUCCAAGCGUUAUCCGGAAUCAUUGGGUUUAAAG
rnacentral:rRNA from 1 species